CAUCUCGGGAUGUCAUCCUCCUCCUGGGGACAGUGCAGGACACACUGGAAGGAUCUCUUAUCAGACACUCUUUCUCCACUAGAAUUGACCACAAACCAGCGAGAAGCAGUGAAAGAAAUGAUAACAUAAGAAAAG
rnacentral:lncRNA from 1 species